UCCGGUUUGUCACCGGCAGUCUCGCAUGAGUCCCCAACUAAAUGCUGGCAACAUGCGACGGAGGUUGCGCUCGUUGCGGGACUUAACCCAACACCUCACGGCACGAGCUGACGACAGCCAUGCAACACCUGUCCUGGUACCCGACUUUACGGGUCGGUAACCCUUUCAGGCACCUACUUCCAGGAUGUCAAACCCAGGUAAGGUUCUUCGCUUUGCAUCGAAUUAAAGAACAUGCUCCGCUGCUUGUGCGGGCCCCCGUCAAUUCUUUUGAGUUUUAGCCUUGCGGCCGUACUCCCCAGGCGGGGCACUUAAUGCGUUAGCUGCGGCACCGACGACGUGGAAUGUCGCCAACACCUAGUGCCCAACGUUUACGGCGUGGACUAC
rnacentral:misc_RNA from 1 species